AGUGAACGCUGGCGGCGUGCUUAACACAUGCAAGUCGAACGAGGACGGAUUAUAGCUUGCUAUAAUUGUCAGCUAAGUGGCGCACGGGUGAGUAAUGUAUAGGUAAUAUGCCUCUUACUAAGGGAUAACAAAUGGAAACGUUUGCUAAUACCUUAUACUCCUUAUUAACCUAAGUUAAUAAGGGAAAGAUUUAUUGGUAAGAGAUUAGCCUGUAUUGUAUCAGUUAGUUGGUGGGGUAAUGGCUUACCAAGACUAUGACACAUAACUGGUUUGAGAGGAUGAUCAGUCACACUGGAACUGCGACACGGUCCAGACUCCUACGGGAGGCAGCAGUGGGGAAUAUUGCACAAUGGACGACAGUCUGAUGCAGCAACGCCGCGUGGAGGAUGACACAUUUCGGUGCGUAAACUCCUUUUAUAUGAGAAGAUAAUGACGGUAUUAUAUGAAGAAGCACCGGCUAACUCCGUGCCAGCAGCCGCCGUAA
rnacentral:rRNA from 1 species